AGGUUCAAUGCAAAUGCCUCAACAGUCCAGAAAAUUCUUUGAUUUGGCUCAGCAGCAUGGUUCCUCCCAGGAUGGCCAGAAUAGGAAUCAAGCUGCUGAACAAGUAGUUCUGAAUCCUGUCCAGCAGGCGUAUCUCCAGUUUGCUCUCCAGCAACAAAAGUCAUUUUUGGCAAUGCAGUCACAACAGGCAGCUAAAAUGGGAAUUUUGGGCCCUGCAACUAGCAAGGAU
rnacentral:misc_RNA from 1 species